rnacentral:lncRNA from 1 species
UUUAAACAGUCGACACAGCCGGUCCCAAGCCCGGAUAAAGGAGGAGGGUUAUCAUCAUGUCGGAGAUCAAAUUUUGGUCGCGCACUGUUUACACCGCAUUUCUCCAGCUGCCCGAUCCUAGUGUAGCUUGCAGAAGAAGGGAACUCGAACCCUUUUUUUCUAAAAUCAAAUAGAAGAAGAUCUUGGUUCCUGGAUACUGCUGCUGUUGAAGGGCGACCUUGAAUUAAUCUUGCUGAAAAGGUUAGUGUCAUUCUCGCUUCUUGGUUUUUCAAUUUUUUUUCCAACUAUAAUUGCUGUCGGAUUUAUUUCAAGAUUUCCAUUUCUAUGAAGAUUCCAAUUUAAUCCGGUUCUGUUCUUAAUAAGAGUAGGAGUGUAUUGUUAAACAGUUUGUUGAUAUGUUGCUAUUACGGAUCCAAUUAUUUGGCAAACCAUAAUUUGUUUCUGAUCAAAAAAUUAAAACGAAAUUUUUUUAAUGACAGUAAUACUCCAUUCAUUCCACUGUAGCAGUCUCUUCUACAAAUAAUUUUUUUAAAAUUAUUUAUCACUUUUAUAUAUCAAAUACAACAUUAUCUUUUUUAUUUUAUUUUAUCUUUAUGUUGAAAUAUAUUUAAUAAAAUUUGAAAUAUCAUAAAAGAGUAGAUUAGCUAGUUUUCUCUAUAAUUAAUUAUAUUAAAUGUUUUUUUUUUAAUUCAAGUGAAUUACUAAAAAGGUGAUAUUUAUAAUAAAAUAUAGAGAAUAUUUUUUAGUGUUUGGUUAUGUACAAAUAACUUUUGAAAGUUAUUUUGAGUUUUUGGAAUAUCUCAGAAGUUAUAAAAUACGUACACUUAUAAAAGCUUUGUAUUCUUAAGUUGUGAUCAAAUUUUAAAAAAGAAAACUAUUAACACUUUUUCUUUAAUCUGUAUUUGGAGGGACAAUCUUUAAUGCAGUUACUGUUUCUGUAAUGGAGGGACAAAGACAAACUAUUCUGUAGAUCAGUUAUCCUAAAAGAUUUGAGGAGAGUCUGCUUCAAUUGGUUUGCAUGAGAACUUUGCCGAUUUGGAGAGACAACUUGUUUGCAAUCAGCAUCGAUCAGAGACACCCACAUAUCUGCCUGAUGAGCCAUAUAUGCCUACAAAAUCAAUUGCACUGAUACCAGUAAUUUGUGUGAGAACUAUUAAUAACUGUAUUGAUGAUGUACAACUAUAAAUUACUAGUUUUUCUAAUAUAGUUAGUGAUGAUCAAGGUGAGAUUAUAUUUUGGAAUGAGAUGCCAUGUAUAAUUCAGGGGCGGUCCAGUGGAAUAAUCCACUAAAAAAAUCGUCUGAGAAUCCUCAGUUGUAUACGAAUGUCCCUUAAUUAUAAAGGAUCCAUAUACAUUAUAAUUGAG